rnacentral:rRNA from 1 species
UACGUAGGUCCCGAGCGUUAUCCGGAUUUAUUGGGCGUAAAGCGAGCGCAGGAGGUUGGAUAAGUCUGAAGUUAAAGGCUGUGGCUCAACCAUAGUAUGCUUUGGAAACUGUUCAACUUGAGUGCAGAAGGGGAGAGUGGAAUUCCAUGUGUAGCGGUGGAAUGCGUAGAUAUAUGGAGGAACACCGGUGGCGAAAGCGGCUCUCUGGUCUGUAACUGACGCUGAGGCUCGAAAGCGUGGGUAGCGAACAGG